ACACUCACCUGGCAAAGGGGAGCAGCCCACGGGGGGUUCCAAUCCACUUCUUGCACCUCGGGGGUGCUGACCCCCCUGAUUUACCACCACAUGGGAAACUGGACUGCGGAAUUGGAGGCAGCAGGGGCUGUGUUCAUGGUGUCUCCUG
rnacentral:snRNA from 1 species